CCUGAACGCUGGCGGCGUGGCUAAGACAUGCAAGUCGCACGGAGGUAGCAAUACCUUAGUGGCGAACGGGUGAGUAAUGAAUCGCUAAUGUGCCCCGGACUCUGGGAUAGCUGCCCGAAAGGGCAGGUAAUACCAGAUGAUAUAACCGAACCGCAUGGUUUGGUUCUCAAAGGUCCGCCGGUCUGGGAGCAGGCGAUUUCGUAUCAGCUAGUUGGUGAGGUAACGGCNCACCAAGGCGACGACGCGUAGCCGGACUGAGAGGUUGGCCGGCCACAUUGGGACUGAGACACUGCCCAGACUCCGUACGGGGGGCUGCAGUAACGAAUCUUCCGCAAUGCACGAAAGUGUGACGGAGCGACGCCGCGUGUAGGACGAAGCCC
rnacentral:rRNA from 1 species